CUACGGGAUGCACCAGUGGGGAAUAUUGGGCAAUGGGCGCAAGCCUGACCCAGCAACGCCGCGUGAGGGAAGAAGGUUUUCGGAUUGUAAACCUCUGUCCUUGGGGACGAAGAAGUGACGGUACCCAAGGAGGAAGCUCCGGCUAACUACGUGCCAGCAGCCGCGGUAAUACGUAGGGAGCAAGCGUUGUCCGGAAUUACUGGGCGUAAAGGGUGCGUAGGCGGCAUAUUAAGUCAGGUGUGAAAUACUCGGGCUCAACCCGAGGGGUGCAUUUGAAACUGAUAAGCUUGAGUGUGAGAGAGGAAAGUGGAAUUCCUAGUGUAGCGGUGGAAUGCGUAGAUAUUAGGAGGAACACCAGUGGUGAAGGCGACUUUCUGGCUCAUAACUGACGCUGAGGCACGAAAGCGUGGGGAGCAAACAGGAUUAGAUACCCGAGUAGUC
rnacentral:rRNA from 1 species